rnacentral:misc_RNA from 1 species
GAAAUGCGAUAAGUAAUGUGAAUUGCAGAAUUCAGUGAAUCAUCGAAUCUUUGAAAGCACCUUGCGCUCCUUGGUAUUCCUUGGAGCAUGCCUGUUUGAGUAUCAUGAAAUCUUCAAAGUAAAUCUUUUGUUAACUCAAUUGGUUUCUACUUUGGUAUUGGAGGUCUUUGCAGCUUCACACCUGCUCCUCUUUGUUCAUUAGCUGGAUCUCAGUGUUAUGCUUGGUUCCACUCGGCGUGAUAAGUUAUCUAUCGCUGAGGACACUGUAAAACGUGGCCAAGGUAAAUGCAGAUGAACCGCUUCUAAUAGUCCAUUGACUUGGACAAUACUUUUAUGAUCUGAUCUCAAAUCAGGUAGGACUACCCGCUGAACUUAAGC